rnacentral:rRNA from 1 species
AUCGAUGAAGAACGCAGCGAAAUGCGAUAAGUAAUGUGAAUUGCAGAAUUCAGUGAAUCAUCGAAUCUUUGAACGCACCUUGCACCCUUUGGUAUUCCAAAGGGUAUGCUCGUUUGAGUGUCAUUAUACUCUCACACUCUCUGAUUAGUUAGGGAGCGGUGGACUUGGGUGUUGCCUGGUACUUACUGUCAGGCUCAUCUCAAAUGGGUUAGUGCGAACUCCUAGUUAAACAUAACGGCGUGAUAAGUAACCCCUCUCGCUGUUUUCUGUCUGAUUAGGAGCUCGUGCUUCAAAUCGUCUUAGGACAAUGUCUAACAACUUGACCUCAAAUCGAGUAGGAUUACCCGCUGAACUUAAGCAUAUCAAUAAGCGGAGGAAAAGAAACUAACAAGGAUUCCCCUAGUAACGGCGAGUGAAGAGGGAAAAGCUCAAAUUUUGAAUCUGGCGUCUUUGGCGUCCGAGUUGUAAUCUAGAGAAGUGUUUUCCGUGGCGGACCGUGCAUAAGUCUCCUGGAAUGGGGCGUCAUAGAGGGUGAGAAUCCCGUGUAUGGCAUGGACUACCGUUACUCUGUGAUACACUCUCAACGAGUCGAGUUGUUUGGGAAUGCAGCUCUAAAUGGGUGGUAAAUGCCAUCUAAAGCUAAAUAUUGGCGAGAGACCGAUAGCGAACAAGUACCGUGAGGGAAAGAUGAAAAGCACUUUGGAAAGAGAGUGAAACAGUACGUGAAAUUGUUGAAAGGGAAACGCUUGAAGUCAGGCGCACCCUUGGGGAUUCAGCCUUGCUUCUGCUUGGUUUACUUCGCCUUGGGUGGGUCAACGUCAGUGUUGGUCAGAGGAAAAAGACUUGGGGAAGGUAGCAGCAUUUAUGCUGUGUUAUAGCCUCUUGUUGUAUACUUUGACUGGAACUGAGGACCGCAGCGCGCCUUUACGGCCGGGGCUUGCCCACGUACGCGCUUAGGAUGUUGGCAAAAUGGCUUUAAGCGACCCGUCUUGAAACACGG